rfam:Ixodes scapularis strain Wikel colony gcontig_1107729071224, whole genome shotgun sequence.
UACCAGGUUGAUCCUGCCAGUAGCCAUAUGCUUGUCUCAAAGAUUAAGCCAUGCAUGUCUAAGCACGUGCCGAAACAAGACGAAACCGCGAAUGGCUUAAUAAAUCAGUUAAGGUUCCUUAGAUCGUUUCUUCCUACUUGGAUAUCUGUGACAAUACUAGAAUACUAGAGCUAGUACAUGCAGUCAGCCCGAUGCCACUCGGGGCGACGAGUGCGUUUAUUAGAGCAAGAUCGAUCGGGCUUCGGUCCGUUUUCUGUGGUGACUCUGGAUAAGUUAGUGCUAAUCGCAUGGUCACGAGCCGGCGACGUUUUCUUCAAGUGUCUGCCUUGUCGACUGCCAAUGGUAGGUUAUGCGCCUACCAUGGUUGUUGCGGGUAACAGAGAAUCAGGGUUCGAUUACGAAGAAACGGCUACCACAUCCUAGGAAGGCAGCAGGCUCGCAUAUUACCCACUCCCGGCACGUGGAGAGUAGAGACGAAAAAUAACAACACGGGACUGCUCCGAGCUCUUCCCGGAACGCGGGAAGAGCUCGGAGCGGCUCUGCAGGACCCCCAAGUGUGUGCUCGUGGAUGAGUGUGGUGCCGAGGAGCAUCGUACGGAGCUUCCAAGCAGACACAGACUUCCCCAUUUCGACCAGCGUCGCAACGGGCCCGCGUCACCCACGCCCGCAACACAUAUAAUUGAAUUUCGCUCAGCUGCGAUGUAUUCAUGUCUAUCCCGGCGAUGAGAGGCGCCGAUUCAGAAAAUACGUCGGUGACAUCAGCGCCAUCAGCACAGCACUAACGCUCCCAUUCUCCUACUGCCCAGAGAACUUCCAGUUCCUGUGCCAGAACACGUCACGACCGUCGAAAUUACGCCGGAGCUGCUUUGUGCUCAGUUGGAAAGGAAGAAAAGUCUACAUUUUAUUAAUGUUUUGUGGAGACGUUAUUAAACCGAGACAAAGACGGAUGCCUGUCCGGCAUUCAGUGAACAUCGAAGGGUUAAUGUAUAAGUUAUCUGACAAAAGUAAAAAUGUAAUUUCAUGGUCCCUUUAAGCGGCACAGAUGGGGGCAUCCGUAUUGCGGCGCUAGAGGCGAAAUUCUUCGACCGUCGCAAGACUAACAACUGCGAAAGCAUUUGCCAAGAAUGCUUUCAUUGUUGAAGGGCGAGAGUUAGAGGUUCGAAGGCGAUCAGAUACUGGCCUAGUUCUAAUUAUAAGCGAUGCCAACCAGCGAUCCGCCUGAGUUACUCAAAUGACUCGACGGGCAGCUUAGGGGAAACCAAAGUAUUUGGGUUCCGGGGGAAGUAAUAUGAUUGCAAAGCUGAAACCAGUGUCCUUCAAUGCUUUUCUGCUCACGA